AAGUGGGGACGACCUCACCGCUCAACUAUUAAUGGGGACGACCCC
rnacentral:ncRNA from 1 species